rnacentral:rRNA from 1 species
GAUGAACGCUGGCGGCGCGCCUAACACAUGCAAGUCGAACGAUUAAAGCACCUUCGGGUGCGUAUAAAGUGGCGAACGGCUGAGUAACACGUGGGCAACCUGCCCCUCUCAUUGGGAUAGCCACGGGAAACCGUGGAUAAUACCGAAUACUUCGGGACUUCCGCAUGGAAGACCCGAGAAAGCUCCGGCGGAGGGGGAUGGGCCCGCGGCCUGUGAGCUAGUUGGUGGGGUAAUGGCCUACCAAGGCAAUGAUGGGUAGCUGGGUUGAGAGACCGAACAGCCAGAUUGGGACUGAGACACGGCCCAGACUCCUACGGGAGGCAGCAGUGGGGAAUCUUGCGCAAUAGGCGAACGCCUGAUGCAGCGGCGCCGCGUGCGGAAUGAUGGCCUUCGGGUUGUAAACCGCUUUCAGCAGGGACGAGGCGGAAGUGACGGUACCUGCACAAGAAGCCCCGGCUAACUACGUG